GGCGCAGUGGCAGAGUGGUCUAAUGCGCAAGACUAGAAUUACCAGCUAUCUUGUUCCUUCGGGAGCGUCUGUUCGAAUCAGGCCUGCGUCG